UACGAAGGGUGCAAACGUUGCUCGGAAUCAUUGGGCGUAAAGCGCACGUAGGCGGCCCUGCAAGUCGGAUGUGAAAUCCCUCGGCUCAACCGAGGACGUGCACCCGAAACUGCAGGGCUUGAGUACUGAAGAGGAUCGCGGAAUUCCCGGUGUAGAGGUGAAAUUCGUAGAUAUUGGGAAGAACACCGGUGGCGAAGGCGGCGACCUGGUCCGUGACUGACGCUGAGGCGCGAAAGCGUGGGAGCAAACAGG
rnacentral:rRNA from 1 species